rnacentral:tRNA from 1 species
GGCUCUGUGGUGCAAUGGUAGCACAAGACUGUGGUCUGGGAUUCCAAGUCUAGUCUCCGGGUUCGAAUCCCGGCGGAGUCA